AUUGAACGCUGGCGGCAGGCCUAACACAUGCAAGUCGAGCGGAUGAAGGGAGCUUGCUCCUGGAUUCCGCGGCGGACGGGUGAGUAAUUCCUAGGAAUCUGCCUGGUAGUGGGGGAUAACGUCCGUACACGGGCGCUAAUACCGCAUACGUCCUGAUGGUGAAAGUGGUGGAUCUUCGGACCUCACGCUAUCAGCUGAGCCUAGGUCGUAUUAGCUAGUUGGUGUGGUAAAGGCCUACCAAGGCGACGAUCCGUAACUGGUCUGAGAGGAUGAUCAGUCACACUGGAACUGAGACACGGUCCAGACUCCUACGGGAGGCAGCAGUGGGGAAUAUUGGACAAUGGGCGAAAGCCUGAUCCAGCCAUGCCGCGUGUGUGAAGAAGGUCUUCGGAUUGUAAAGCACUUUAAGUUGGGAGGAAGGGAAGUAAGUUAAUACCUUGCUGUUUUGACGUUACCAACAGAAUAAGCACCGGCUAACUUCGUG
rnacentral:rRNA from 1 species